rnacentral:lncRNA from 1 species
AAACUGUAAUGGUAUUAAUAAUUUUUAUAAUUAUGAAAAUAAUUUUUUGCAUCAAAACAGUUCAUAUAAGCUACAUUCAGAUACAAUCAAUUUAUAUAAGUCUUCUUUUUUAAACAAAAAACUUAAUGACGACAUGUACAAAGAAAGUAUUAAAUACGAACAAGGGAGCGACAUAUUUUCAACACAAGAUUAUAAUACAAGUUAUAAUAUGAUAAGUAGUAAUAUAACUGUGAGUAGUAAAAACCAAAACAAACACACUACACAUUUAUUAUAUAACAAAGAGCAUGUGGCUGGUCUUACCGAUGUUCAUACAUAUUGUCAUAUAAAUAACAAUAUGGAUAACUACAUUGACAGAAUAGGUUAUAACAAAAUGGAAGCAUUCACCUACAAUCACACGCACAAUUUAGAUACAAAUGUUGUAGAAGAAAAUACACAACUAUUUAAGUUGAAAUUCAUGAUUAAAUUAUUUAAUAAAAUAAACUAUAAAUUACAAAUUAUACAAAAAAAAAUUGUACAUGCUGUUAAGUUAAUAAAAAUACAAGAACAGCUCAACAAAAAUAAAGAUUUACAAAUAAACAACAAUAAAAAUAUAACAAAACAAUCCAACAGUCAAAUGUUAAACAAAAGUGACGUGUUAUCAUUUGAUAGUGUAUUCAAAAUGGCAACUAAUAUGUAUAAAACUGUCGAAUGCAAAUUAACAGAAAAAUUAGGUACUUUUAUUAAUGAUAUACCAAACACAAAUCAACCAAAAAGCGAUAACUAUGACAGUUGCAAUAGCAAUAGUGGCAAUUGCAAUAGUGGAAAUUGCAAUAGUGGAAAUUGCAAUAAUGGCAAUUGUAGUAGUCGAAAUUGCAGUAGUCGCAAUUGCAGUAGUCGAAAUUGCAGUAGUCGAAAUUGCAGUAGUCGAAAUUGCAGUAGUCGCAAUUGCAGUAGUAACAGUUGUGGAUGCAACCAAAAACAGAACCACAAUAUAAGUUUAUUGUGUGGAAAAAAUUGCCAAAAUAAUGAUAUAGUAUAUACAACCCAACCCAAAUUAGAAACAGUGGAACACAGUGCUAGCGCUAGCACAUUUAUGAACAUAAAUAACAAUUCUAACGAUAACAGUGAUAACGAUUCUUACCUUAACCUAACUGACACACAUCUAAACAAUAUCAGUAAUAACAACAUCCAUAAACUUAUAAAAAACAUUUUAUUUUAUAUGUGGCUAUGUGAUUUAGAAUUUGAAAGCAUACAUGAAAUUUAUACUAUUUAUAUGAAUAACAUAAAUAAACAAAAUACCAUAUUCGACAAUUUUAAUGCAUUACAAUUUGUUAAAGAUGUAUCAAAACAGGUAUCCACCUCUAUUUCGAAGUAUAUAAGCAUUUGACAUAUGCUCUUUUUUACCACUCCCGUUUUUACCAUGUUCGUUUGUUAAACAUUCGUUCAUCCGCUUGUUCAUCCGCUUGUUCAUCCGCUUGUUCAUCUGCUUGUCCAUCUGCUUGUCCAUCUGCUUGUCCAUCUGCUUGUCCAUCUGCUUGCCCAUCUGCUUGUCCAUCUGCUUGUCCAUCUGCUUGCCCAUCUGCUUGCCCAUCUGCUUGCCCAUCUGCUUGCCCAUCUGCUUGUCCAUCUGCUUGUCCAUCUGCUUGUUCAUCCGCUUAUCCAUCCGCUUAUCCACCCGCAUGUUCAUUUUUUUUUUUUUUUUUAGUAAUCCCUUUUUUAUGACAAAUA